rnacentral:rRNA from 1 species
AUACGGAGGGUCCGAGCGUUAUCCGGAAUCAUUGGGUUUAAAGGGUCCGUAGGCGGGAAUCUAAGUCAGUGGUGAAAUCUUGCAGCUCAACUGUAAAAUUGCCAUUGAUACUGGAUUUCUUGAAUUAGUGUGAAGUGGUUAGAAUGUGUAGUGUAGCGGUGAAAUGCAUAGAUAUUACACAGAAUACCAAUUGCGAAGGCAGAUCACUAACACUAUAUUGACGCUGAGGGACGAAAGCGUGGGGAGCGAACAGGAUUAGAUACCCCGGUAGUCC